UACGGAGGGGGCUAGCGUUGUUCGGAAUUACUGGGCGUAAAGCGCACGUAGGCGGCUUUGCAAGUCAGAGGUGAAAGCCCGGGGCUCAACCCCGGAAUUGCCUUUGAGACUGCAUCGCUAGAAUUGUGGAGAGGUAAGUGGAAUUCCGAGUGUAGAGGUGAAAUUCGUAGAUAUUCGGAAGAACACCAGUGGCAAAGGCGCUUACUGGACACAUAUUGACGCUGAGGUGCGAAAGCGUGGGGAGCAAACAGG
rnacentral:rRNA from 1 species